rnacentral:lncRNA from 1 species
CGCCGCGCCCAAUCAGAGCGCCCGCUCGGCGUGACGUCACGAGAAAAAGGGCGGGGCAACCGCACCAGCAGGGCGGUGGCGGCGUGCGCGGUUGCCGCGGCAACGGAGGGCGGGGCUCAGUUGGCCACGCCCCAUGUGGGAGGAGCCUAGCAUCGCCCCGCCCCCUAUCGCUGGCUCGGCCUCCCCCCGGGUCCUAGCGCCCGCCCGCCGCCGGUGCCGGCCCCGCCGCCCCCCGCCCCCGGCUCCCCCCCCCUGGGGCCGUCCCCCGAGCCCUGCCCGGUCCCGCCCGGUCCCGGCCCCGCCCUCCUGCAGCCGCGCGGCCCCUUUAAGGCCUCGCCACGUCCGAGAUGGCGGCGGCCGGGAGGGGCUGAGCCCGGCGGCGGCAGCGGCGGCGCCCACCGGGGGCGGCUUCAGCACCACCGGGAGCUCCGGGGCCGCUCCCUCGGUUCCGCAGCGUCCCCGCCAUGAGGCCCGGCCCCCGCGCGCACCCGGCCCAGGCCCCGGGGGCGGCCCCGUGAAGGCCCCGGUGCUGCCCGGUGAAGGCCCCGCCCGGCGAAGGGAGGCUCCGGGGAGGCCGCCCGGCGAAGGGAGGCUCCGGGUUCCUGGCCCGGUGAAGGCCCCGGGACCGGCCCGGUGAAGGGAGG